rnacentral:tRNA from 2 species
GGACCAAUGGUGUAGCCUGGCAUCACCCUAGAUUCUGACGCUUUUGAGGCGCAAGUCUUAAAGUACAGAGUAUUCUAGUAACGUGAGUUCGAAUCUCGCUUGGUCCU